UAUUGCAUAUUUGCUUAACUGUGACAAAAUGGCUCACUGAAAACAGCCUAUUAUUGAACUCCAACAAGACCGAGACCUUGAUUGUUGCUCCUGACAGUGCUGUGCCUGGAAUUAAGCAGCACCUCGGAAACUUGAGCUGCACAGUUAAAAGCAACCUGCGCAACCUGGGUGUUUUCAUGGAUGGAGCGAUGUCUAUGGAGCGGCACAUAAAUCAGCUUGUUAGGAACUGCUUUUUCCAAAUUCGGAACAUUUCUAAACUUCGUAAGAUGGUGACUUAUGGUGAGCUUGAGAUGAUUGUUCAUGCUUUUGUCUCAUCGAGAUUGGAUUAUUGUAACAGUCUGUUCACAUGUCUUA